AACGAACGCUGGCGGCAUGCCUAACACAUGCAAGUCGAACGAGACCUUCGGGUCUAGUGGCGCACGGGUGCGUACCGCGUGGGAACCUGCCCUUAAGUUCGGAAUAACUCCCCGAAAGGGGUGCUAAUACCGGAUAAGGUCAUCGGACCAAAGAUUUAUCGCCUUUGGAUGGGCCCGCGUUGGAUUAGCUAGUUGGUAGGGUAAAAGCCUACCAAGGCGACGAUCCAUAGCUGGUCUGAGAGGAUGAUCAGCCACACUGGGACUGAGACACGGCCCAGACUCCUACGGGAGGCAGCAGUGGGGAAUAUUGGACAAUGGGCGAAAGCCUGAUCCAGCAAUGCCGCGUGAGUGAUGAAGGCCUUAGGGUUGUAAAGCUCUUUUACCCGGGAUGAUAAUGACAGUACCGGGAGAAUAAGCUCCGGCUAACUCCGUG
rnacentral:rRNA from 1 species